rnacentral:rRNA from 1 species
GGACUACUGGGGUUUCUAAUCCUGUUCGCUCCCCACGCUUUCGCGCCUCAGUGUCAGUAACGUCCCAGCGAGCUGCCUUCGCUAUUGGUGUUCCUCCUGAUAUCUGCGCAUUCCACCGCUACACCAGGAAUUCCACUCGCCUCUUCCGUACUCUAGCCAUGCAGUAUCCACCGGCUUUCAAAGGUUGAGCCUUUGACUUUCACAGCGGACUUACAUGGCCACCUACGCGCGCUUUACGCCCAAUGAUUCCGGACAACGCUUGCUCCCUACGUAUUACCGCGGCUGCUGGCAC